GGAAUGGUAGCUCAGUCAGUCAGAGCACUACGCUGAUAACGUAGAGGUCGUGGGUGCAAUUCCUACCCAUUCCA
rnacentral:tRNA from 2 species